AGACGUGUAUACUUCUGGGAUUCUUCGAUUUAUGGCUUGCUGAAAUCAUUUUGAACUAGUGGGGAGGCACAGAAUAUCUCCUCCUCACCGGUUGAUUAGUAUGAACAUUGUUGGGAAGAUUACACUAUCUGAACAAUUCAUGAUUGAAGAAAUAAGCAAAAGCACAGAUUUUUUUCAUUUAGCAAUGCAGACUCUUAAGCCCAGAAAAGUCACUGCUGCAUAUUGGAAACUUUCCUCGUCGACAGUGCAGCAAAGCAGUGCUCCACUCCUGAAUGGCUGUUAGAUGUAAUGUAAACGCACAGCUUCCCUGCCUCACUGGUCGAAGCUCAUCACGAGCCUGGUGAGACCAGAAGAAAAAUGCCAGAACAAAAUAGUGAAGAAGUAUUUCUUUCUUCAGAAAUGUCUGCUCGCAACAGACUGGCUGGAAGGACACUGCUUGUCCAGAGUGCCGUGGUGGUCACAGUUUGUGUCCUAUUCUUCAAGAACCUUUGGCUUUAUAGAAAACCCUCCAUCUUCUUGAGCUCCGCAGGCUCCAUGAUUAAUGAACUGAAGAAUUGGACAGGGUGUCUGAGAAAAUUCCAGCAGGAUAUGGCAAAAUAUUCUGCACAGUUCUGUUGCCCUUGUGUCAUAUAGAUGGGUUAGAAACAAAAAUGUAUUUAAUGUCCUAAUAAAACUGCAGCUCCAGAGUGCAUAAGAUGUUACAGAGAAUCUCGUGCAAAUUAGACUGUUUUCAUAAUCACUGAGCCCAGAAAGUCCAAAUUCUUUCUUUUUCCCAUUCAACACUCUUUGUGUAGGGUGACUUGUCAUGCUUUUUAUGAGCUGUGUCGAGUAAUAGCUCUGAUUAGGGCGUCGUUAUUCUGCUUCAAAAGAUGAUGAAACUGAGAAGCAAGGCCAAGAAGAUGGGUGAGAGAGUCAGGAAACUCCAACUUUAGAAAAAUUUUUAGUUUAUGGGAAAGACAAGAAAAAAACCCUAAAGCCUUUAGUAUUUCAA
rnacentral:lncRNA from 1 species